rnacentral:rRNA from 1 species
CACGUAGGGUGCGAGCGUUUGUCCGGAAUUAUUGGGCGUAAAGAGCUCGUAGGCGGUGUGUCGCGUCGGCCGUGAAAACCUGCAGCUUAACUGUGGGCUUGCGGUCGAUACGGGCAUCACUGGAGUUCGGCAGGGGAGACUGGAAUUCCUGGUGUAGCGGUGAAAUGCGCAGAUAUCAGGAGGAACACCGGUGGCGAAGGCGGGUCUCUGGGCGAUUAACUGACGCUGGAGGAGCGAAAAGCAUGGGGAGCGAACAGG